UAGAGUUUGAUCCUGGCUCAGGAUGAACGCUGGCGGCGUGCUUAACACAUGCAAGUCGAACGAGAGAAUUGCUAGCUUGCUAAUAAUUCUCUAGUGGCGCACGGGUGAGUAACACGUGAGUAACCUGCCCCCGAGAGCGGGAUAGCCCUGGGAAACUGGGAUUAAUACCGCAUAGUAUCGAAAGAUUAAAGCAGCAAUGCGCUUGGGGAUGGGCUCGCGGCCUAUUAGUUAGUUGGUGAGGUAACGGCUCACCAAGGCGAUGACGGGUAGCCGGUCUGAGAGGAUGUCCGGCCACACUGGAACUGAGACACGGUCCAGACACCUACGGGUGGCAGCAGUCGAGAAUCAUUCACAAUGGGGGAAACCCUGAUGGUGCGACGCCGCGUGGGGGAAUGAAGGUCUUCGGAUUGUAAACCCCUGUCAUGUGGGAGCAAAUUAAAAAGAUAGUACCACAAGAGGAAGAGACGGCUAACUCUGUGCCAGCAGCCGCGGUAAUACAGAGGUCUCAAGCGUUGUUCGGAAUCACUGGGCGUAAAGCGUGCGUGGGCUGUUUCGUAAGUCGUGUGUGAAAGGCGCGGGCUCAACCCGCGGACGGCACAUGAUACUGCGAGACUAGAGUAAUGGAGGGGGAACCGGAAUUCUCGGUGUAGCAGUGAAAUGCGUAGAUAUCGAGAGGAACACUCGUGGCGAAGGCGGGUUCCUGGACAUUAACUGACGCUGAGGCACGAAGGCCAGGGGAGCGAAAGGGAUUAGAUACCCCUGUAGUCCUGGCAGUAAACGGUGCACGCUUGGUGUGCGGGGAAUCGACCCCCUGCGUGCCGGAGCUAACGCGUUAAGCGUGCCGCCUGGGGAGUACGGUCGCAAGAUUAAAACUCAAAGAAAUUGACGGGGACCCGCACAAGCGGUGGAGUAUGUGGCUUAAUUCGAUGCAACGCGAAGAACCUUACCUGGGCUUGACAUGUAAUGAACAACAUGUGAAAGCAUGCGACUCUUCGGAGGCGUUACACAGGUGCUGCAUGGCCGUCGUCAGCUCGUGUCGUGAGAUGUUUGGUUAAGUCCAGCAACGAGCGCAACCCCUGUUGCCAGUUACCAGCACGUGAAGGGGGGGACUCUGGCGAGACUGCCCAGAUCAACUGGGAGGAAGGUGGGGACGACGUCAGGUCAGUAUGGCCCUUAUGCCCAGGGCUGCACACGCACUACAAUGCCCAGUACAGAGGGGGCCGAAGCCGCGAGGCGGAGGAAAUCCUAAAAACUGGGCCCAGUUCGGACUGUAGGCUGCAACCCGCCUACACGAAGCCGGAAUCGCUAGUAAUGGCGCAUCAGCUACGGCGCCGUGAAUACGUUACCGGGUCUUGCACUCACCGCCCGUCA
rnacentral:rRNA from 1 species